GAUACCAAAAUGCUUAAAGUGUUUUUUUUUAAUUAAAAAUUAGACAGCCAUAGUGUCUCUGCCGUCUGAUUAUUGUUCAGUCCCUUUCAAGGAUUUUUUAAAGGAAAAUGUGCCAAGCAAAUUGAGACUAACUUAGCAGGUCCAGAAAGAGUGGACGUCAGAGGGGAAGACUCCAGGAUGCCGAAAAUGUGACAGUGGUUCUCCCAGAGUCUAUCCUCAUCUUUCCUGGGAGCAGGCCCUGACAGUGACCUAACAGCAGAGCCAUCUCACACUCAACCUGCCGCACCAGCCAACCCCCCGACCUUGCAAAUCCAGGGCUCUGCAUUUUGGCAUCUUAAGACAGACAGAAGAUUCUACGAGGAGAAUCCCAGCAAGCCCAGCUCUUGACCAUCUCCAUCUCCUGCAGACCAGGCCCUCCUGCGGCAGUGAGUCCUACUAAACUCAGUCUCCUACCAGAUCCUUCAGCUUCUUCAAAUCCUGGGCCAAAGGCAUGUGUAGCUCUGUGGUGAAAGGCGCCAGGUUCUUCUGCAAGUCAGCCACAGCAUCAGAGUUGGAGAUGCCCUCAGGAGCGGUUCAUCCUUCAGGUGGUUCUAAUUACAAACAGCUGUACUGAGUGUCGCUCCAACAGAAAAGUCCAAAGGAAAGUCCCUUGCAAUACUCCGAAGUCGAGACUCUUCUCACUCUCAGUUUCACAAAUGAUGAUUUUGAAUCCUCCAGAUACAAAGGGCAAGGCCAGCUCCUAACCUGCCCAGUGCUCUGCAAGAGUGUGUUCUACCAUCUGCCAGCUACUCCCUUAUCCGGAUACAAUAUUAGAUAAUGGAGGCAUCCUCAAGAUUCCAGAGCCAGCUCUGCCUCCCC
ensembl:lncRNA